rnacentral:rRNA from 1 species
GAUGAACGCUAGCUACAGGCUUAACACAUGCAAGUCGGAGGGGCAGCAUGUCGGUUGCUUGCAACCGAUGAUGGCGACCGGCGCACGGGUGAGUAACGCGUAUCCAACCUACCCUUGUCCAUCGGAUAACCCGUCGAAAGGCGGCCUAACACGAUAUGCGGUUCUCAGCAGGCAUCUAACGAGAACGAAAUGUGAAGGAGAAGGAUGGGGAUGCGUCUGAUUAGCUUGUUGGCGGGGUAACGCCCACCAAGGCUACGAUCAGUAGGGGUUCUGAGAGGAACGGUCCCCCANAUUGGAACUGAGACACGGUCCAAACUCCUACGGGAGCAGCAGUGAGAAUAUGGUCAAUGGGGCGCGAGCCUGAACCGGCCAAGUCGCGUGAAGGAUGAAGGUUCUAUGGAUUGUAAACUUCUUUUAUGGGGGAAUAAAGUGCGGGAUGCGUCCUGUUUUGUAUGUACCUCAUGAAUAAGCAUCGGCUAACUCCGUGCCAGCA